GCCACGGCUGCUGCCCUGUCCUCAGGGGAGUUUACUCGUUUCUUAAAGUGAGGAUGAGUUUCUCAAGACGACAACAAAAAAGUGCCCUGUGGAGGCUGGCGGGAGAACUCUUCUUCCUGUAUCGGAUCAGUUCUGCUGCUUCGGCUCAUGUUACAGGCGUUUUGGAAACUGACCCUUGCAAACUCUGACUUGUGAAAAAUUGGAUUCCCCAUGAACACAGAAGGAUUUGAGUUGCUUGUCAUCAACACCUCACGGACAGAGUUUUGCAGCAGUGGAACGACAGGACGAGGAGGACGUGAAUGCAAAAGUUAUUUUACAGGAAAUGUGUGUUGAGUGGUGGGUUUGGGCACCGGGCACGGAUGGCCUUGGCACUCGAGCGGCCAGACUGCGGUGGGAGACCUACAUGCAGCCUGGAUGGGUUUUAGGACGUGGCUCUAGGAGAGCAGGAGGAAGAAAUCUGCACCACUUUGUCUGGAGCAGAGGCAACGAAGGGGAACGUGCAAAAGUGACCAUCACAGCUAUCAGCCGUGGAUCGGCGAGGAAGGACUGUGAUUUACAGAUAGCACCUUGUCUCUCCUGCUGGCACCCCGUCAUUACACCGAGCUGAGCACUGGGAGAUAGGUGCUGCGAACAAGAAAGGACCUCUUCUGUAAAUGUCAACGCCAGUCAGAGCCUCAAAUUUUCUCCAUUAACUCUUUCCCCUGCAGUUCUCCAUACUCUAAGCCAAUAAUUACAUGACUUACUCCCUCCUAUUACCAAAUGUUUGGGGUCUAAGUGAUGUUAGAACAUCUGGACAACACACACUCAAAGGAAAAUAAAGCUAUUUGCCAUUUAAUUUAUCUUUCACUGUCUUAAUAGUCUUCUGCUGGCAUGUUUUCUAAGAAGUCACUUUGUGUUCUGAUUUGCAAAAUUUGUCAAAAUUCUGUAUUAAAAGGUUUUAUGGUAUUAAUGUGACUAGAAAUAAGGCAGAAUGCAAACAGUCAGCGCAGGUACGGGAAAUUAAUUUCAUGCUUCAUUCUGUGUUCCUGCUUUUGACCAUGACCUGAAGUUAGUGUGUGGUUACGGUGUGAAAUAGUAAUUUCAGCUCAGAUUCUACGGCAAAAAAAUGUUUUCAUUAUGAAACCAUAAAAAAACACAAGUGCUUAUUAUUUGAAUAUGCAGUUAUGUUCUAAUUAAAUAUUUAUUUUGCAUGAGUGUGUGCAUGUGAUGGAGAUUUCUGUUUGGAUUGAGGGAUAAGACUUUGUGUGUAUGUGUGUGUGUGUGUGUGUGUGCGUGCGCGGGGGUGGGG
rnacentral:lncRNA from 1 species